rnacentral:rRNA from 1 species
AACGAACGCUGGCGGCAUGCCUAACACAUGCAAGUCGAACGAGACCUUCGGGUCUAGUGGCGCACGGGUGCGUAACGCGUGGGAACCUGCCCUUAGGUUCAGAAUAACUCCCCGAAAGGGGUGCUAAUACCGGAUAAUGUCUUCGGACCAAAGAUUUAUCGCCUUUGGAUGGGCCCGCGUUGGAUUAGCUAGUUGGUAGGGUAAAAGCCUACCAAGGCGACGAUCCAUAGCUGGUCUGAGAGGAUGAUCAGCCACACUGGGACUGAGACACGGCCCAGACUCCUACGGGAAGCAGCAGUGGGGAAUAUUGGACAAUGGGCGAAAGCCUGAUCCAGCAAUGCCGCGUGAGUGAUGAAGGCCUUAGGGUUGUAAAGCUCUUUUACCCGGGAUGAUAAUGACAGUACCGGGAGAAUAAGCUCCGGCUAACUCCGUG